rnacentral:rRNA from 1 species
GACGAACGCUGGCGGCGUGCUUAACACAUGCAAGUCGUACGGUAAGGCCCUUUCUGGGGUACACGAGUGGCGAACGGGUGAGUAACACGUGAGUAACCUGCCCACAACUUUGGGAUAACGCUAGGAAACUGGUGCUAAUACUGGAUAUGUGCUCCUGCUGCAUGGUGGGGGUUGGAAAGCUCCGGCGGUUGUGGAUGGACUCGCGGCCUAUCAGCUUGUUGGUGGGGUAGUGGCCUACCAAGGCGGCGACGGGUAGCCGGCCUGAGAGGGUGACCGGCCACAGUGGGACUGAGAUACGGCCCCGACUCCGACGGGAGGCAGCAGUGGGGAAUAUUGCACAAUGGGCGCAAGCCUGAUGCAGCAACGCCGCGUGCGGGAUGACGGCCUUCGGGUUGUAAACCGAUUUCAGCAGGGACGAAGCUUUUUGUGACGGUACCUGCAGAAGAAGCACCGGCUAACUACGUG